CAGGCCGUGCUGCCGGCGCGGCGUGUGACGCAACGGCUAUCGCGGCACAUGAGUGGCUGUCAGCCCGAGACUCCAACUCCCGGCAGGCCCUGCUGCUGGCGCGGCGUGUGACGCAACGGGCGACGCGGCCCGGCAUUUUUCUCUAAAUCGGCAGUAAAUACAGCUGAGUAAAAUUAGCUUGGUUUUCUUCCUUCUUUUGUAACUGAACUGUUUUUAUUAAAAAUCCUAUUUGAAUAUGUAGAAAAAGUGGGGAUGUCCUGUAAUAUAUCGUAGCUUUUCUUGUUUACAGGGUACUGAGAAAAUACGUCUCCCUUAGAGUCCCGCGGAAAGGUUCUCAGUGCGCUCUCUAUCAAGGAAGUGUUGGAAGUUAGUGUUUUGGGAAAGAAACGGCAGUUCCACAGAACAUUCCAUUUCACAGAGGCUCUGGGAACGAUUCAUGUUUGCUAUGAGUCUUGAUAAAUUGGAGAAGAGCCCAAGAGAAAUUUUUCAUCCCUUGAUAUAAAAGGAUUUAUUGGUUCUGGAAGAACAAGAGGGAAGUACAAGCCUAACUACUUCUAGCUCACAGGCCCGUCCGGUGAACCCAGGGAUCGGUGAAUUUUAACUUUGGAGUCCCCUAUGCUAAGGAUGCUCAGCUUACAGGUGAUGAAAUGUUCAGUAAUGUAUUUGCUGCAGCUCUGCUUACCCAAGCUUUGGGUUCCUUCUGUCCCACUGGGAGUUGCCCAGUUUGGUUGCAUCUGGUGAAAUUCACCCUGAGACCUUACAGAACUAGCUCCAACUACGUGAGAGCCAUUUGCAGUUCUCUCCAGACACCUGGAGAAUGGGUGACGUUUCUGAGGAUCCGGCGAGCGUGCUUCUGUCAAAACUCAGUCUGUGAAAUUCCUGGGGAAAACCCUUCUGUGUCCUGAAGGGUUCAAACUCUGGUGAGGAUCCAGUUAUCAGGGGCUCACCUGGAUGGUUCCAGCUCCCAAAGGGAAAGACUCUCGUAUCCUUGUCGUCGGGCUCGGUGCUGUCCAAGAAGAUACGGGGACUAAAAAAAUCAUAAGAAGCAAAAUAUGACUGCAGGGAAAAGAAGCUGGAGAGAACAGAAGGUGAUGUUGUUAUCCUUACCCUGUAUUAGAAACAUCCGCUGUGCUUUGAUGCUGGCAGCUGCCAGGGGCUUGUUAGCUCUUUGUAGGCAGGUGUAGGUGUUCACUUGUAGGUUUUAUCUCUGGACAAGUCAAUUCAAACUUUGCUAAGCUUAUAUUUGCAGAUUGCUCUCUAGCACAGUCCAGCAUGACAUUUUUGAAUGUUGUAAAAAUACCAUGUUACUUGGAAAUUGCUAAUGAAGAGAAGCUUUAGGGGAAAAUAAGAUUUCAGGGUUGGAAGAUGUGAGAAGAAUUUUGUGGGGACGUUAGACUGAAGUAAAGCACACUUGAAGCUGGACUGGCACGCUGGCAGGUCCCCUAUUAAACAGUAGUGCUGAGAUUAGCCUGGGGGUUGCCCAUUGUUUCUGUAGAAAUCAAUGUUUCCUGGUCUUGAGAGGGAAGCUGCUUUGAAAAGCUGGAAGGUGCAGCAUGCUGACAAUCCCCGUGCUUUGGAUUAAAAGUAGAUUUCAGAAGGGUCCUAAGCUUUUGUCUUUUCCUAGAAGUCGAUGUAAUCCUAUCGAGGAGUGUUUAGUUCUGUGUUGCCAUGUCAUCCAUCAGAGCCCUGUUGUACUAAUCUUCAUACAAGUACAAAACAAAAAAUCAGACCCUGUCCCAAGCACUUAGAGACCAGAACACGAUUUCCUCGGGCUGCCAUUUGCGUGCCAUCGGUACUCACCACGAAUUGAGCCCUCUGGCUCUGACAGAGCCCCUGGAUGCUGACGGAAGGGGGCUGGUCACAGACCCUGGAGGUGCCUGUCCCCCAGGGAGGGAGAGGACGAGGCAGUGUGGCCUGCAGGGAGGGUGUCGUCCCCAGAGAGCAGCCGGCGACUCCAUGCCUGCCCGGGGCUGCGGGUGCCCCCUCGGGGUGGACGCCUGCCCUCAGGUUUCCCUCUGGGCACCCGGGGAGGGAACCAGGUCCAUCCGUGUGGCAGCUGCAGGGCCUGCAGGCUCUGGGCCCUGGAGCCGAGUGAGCCUGAGCUGCUGCAUGCUUGCUGUGAGCGUUGGGGUGAGCGUGCAUCACUGCAGGCCUGGGAUGGAUUGAAAUGCGCUGA